UUUUUCAGUGCAAUUAUUCUAUUCCCAAUCCAUUUACAACAGAGUGUAUUGUAUAGCCUUUCAGAGAAGUCUGUUAGUCAUAAAAUUAAAAUGUAGAGGAAAUUUCAUCAAAUUUUACUGGCUCUGCCCAAUUACUUGACUUUGCUAAUAGGUAACUGAUUCACUUGGUUUGAAGUAACUGCUUUAUGCAUUUUUUAUAAUAUAUAUUUAUUUGUCUCAUAGUUAUUCUUACAGUUUUUAGUUGCAUCCUAAAUAAUUGGUUAUAGGUAAAUGGUUUUCUUUCAAUUGUUGGGUCAAAUUUGACAGUUCCGAUUCACAGAAGUCAUAUUGUGACGGAGAGGAAGCUAAAGACCAAGUAUUCUCACCUCCUUUGCUAAUGGACUCCUCAUUUCUGGGAGAUCCAUGUAAAGAUUUGCUCGCACCAUUAUCAGAAACUGAAACUGCCUUGAUGGAGUGCUAAAAUCAAACUGUUGAUGCUCAGACCAUGAAAUGAUCAUGUGCCAACUGUUUCGAGUCUUGGAGGAUAGAAACCACUAUCCAACCAGAUCAUCAGUCUAGGUGCAAAUGUUUUGCAAAGAAAGCGAAGAACAAUGAGACAGAGAUAGUGGGACAAAAUGGAAAAAGGGUGUAGCUGAGGCACAACCAACUGAAAUUGAGAGGAUGAAUUUCAAGGUGGACGAGAUAGAGACAAGGGAAUUCCAAUGAUUUGAGAUGCAAUGUUAAGGAGCCUCUGUUUGUGAUCUGUGUUAUUGAGAUGUUCCAGCUUCAUGUUGGUAGUUUUCAGCUUUGCUUCAGUAAUUGUUUUAAGGGUUGGACUGCAGCUGGCUUCAUCACUAGUUUAUUUUAUGGCCUCUACUUUUUUUAUGUUAUUGGUGUUUUUGUUAGUUGGUUUCUUGCCAACUUUUAUUUUAUUUUAUUAAUUAUUAUUAUUAUUUUUGAGA